rnacentral:lncRNA from 1 species
AUGGAGCUCAAAGUGUAUGUGUGUGCAUACAAACACAUGUGGAGGUGCCUACUAAUAUACUUAGAUAUUUUAAAUGAAAACAUUGCUAUAAGACUUUGUCAUGAGUUUAUGGAACAUACUUUUUUUUUUUUUCUUUUUAUAGAAAAAAACUUAUCGACCACAAAAUCAAGAAGGAUACUACCUUGUGUAGAUUACUUAUGGCAGGUGUCAGUAUUUAGUUACACUGUAGUAGGUUCCUUUAGAAACACUGCAUGUGAAAAGAGAGUGAUCUUCAAAGCUGCUCACCUUCAUAAAUUUUCAAGUUUCAUGAAUGUCUUCUUGAAAGGAGCAUUGGGGGCCUGACUGUUACCAGAUGAGUCACAGAGGCAACUUCAGUUUCAGCCAUGGCACACCAUGGACAAAGAUUAAAGGAUUAAACUUCAGCCUAACCAAGAUCUUCAACAUGAAGCAGUGGAUGAAAAUGUCACUUCACAUCUAGAAAUUAUCAAUAUCUUUCAUGGUUAUAAACUGAGAAUGUUCUUCUGUGAAAUUUGGACCAAGCUGAGGCCUUACAAAUGCCUCGCAAAGUUGUUCCUGAGGGAAAGGGGAGGGUGGACCUGCAGGCUCCUCAGCAAGGCAGUUGGGGGAGCCUUCUCCAAAGCUUCUUCCAGAUUUCUCUUGAAGAACCUCAAGGCUACCAGUGCUUUCCCGAAAGCUCCCAGCAUUGAGUGGCCAAAGAAACUCCAGUGGUCAGGGCCUUCAUGCCAUGCAGUGGAAGUUGCACUUAGUUUUGAACCCUGCAUGAGCUCAUAUGAUUGUACCUGCAGUCUUUGUACACCCAACAUUUCCCCUUACACCUGCCCUGCAUGACGUGUAUACUGCAAACGAGUACAGUGCGUGGUAGUCCCCAGGAACUGCUGUUUGAUUCCUUUCAUGGGAGCUCUCACAGUCAGACCAAAGGGGGACACUGGAAAAACCUGCAAUGGUAGUUUAACAAACACCUCAUGGCGGCAGCAUCUCCAGAGCUUGUACACGUAAAAGUUACAGAGCCAAACAGAAAGCAAUGGAUUUAUGAAAGAUAAGAGCACAUGUUGAUAAAUCAUGCUUUUAAUACACGGUGUAUUAACCAAUUCAAAAAAACAAAAUCAGAGUUGUGGAGAGAGCACAUUGCCUGUAAAUUACAGACUUCUGUCUGAGGAGUGUGUUUGUUUAUGGGAUAUUAGAGUCUCAUGAUGAACCAUGGGAAAACAACAACAACAACAACAACAGACAACAUACAUACCAUUAACUGGGAAAGCAAAACAUCCUUUUGUAUCAACCAAAUCUUUUUGUAGACAACCAAAUCUUAGUGCUUUCUGUAGCU